rnacentral:rRNA from 1 species
AUUGAACGCUGGCGGCAUGCUUUACACAUGCAAGUCGAACGGUAACAGGCCGCAAGGUGCCGCCGAGUGGCGAACGGGUGAGUAAUGCAUCGGAACGUGCCCAGUCGUGGGGGAUAACUACUCGAAAGAGUAGCUAAUACCGCAUACGAUCUAUGGAUGAAAGCGGGGGACCGUAAGGCCUCGCGCGAUUGGAGCGGCCGAUGUCAGAUUAGGUAGUUGGUGGGGUAAAGGCUCACCAAGCCAACGAUCUGUAGCUGGUCUGAGAGGACGACCAGCCACACUGGGACUGAGACACGGCCCAGACUCCUACGGGAGGCAGCAGUGGGGAAUUUUGGACAAUGGGCGCAAGCCUGAUCCAGCAAUGCCGCGUGCAGGAAGAAGGCCUUCGGGUUGUAAACUGCUUUUGUACGGAACGAAACGGCUCUGGUUAAUACCCGGGGCUAAUGACGGUACCGGAAGAAUAAGCACCGGCUAACUACGUG